UACGAAGGGGGCUAGCGUUGUUCGGAAUCAUUGGGCGUAAAGAGCGCGUAGGCGGUCCGGUAAGUCGGUUGUGAAAACUGGGGGCUCAACCCUCAGACGCCGACCGAUACGUGUCGGCUAGAGUCCGGAAGAGGCGAGUGGAAUUCCUGGUGUAGCGGUGAAAUGCGCAGAUAUCAGGAGGAACACCAAUGGCGAAGGCAGCUCGCUGGGACGGUACUGACGCUGAGGCGCGAAAGCGUGGGGAGCAAACAGG
rnacentral:rRNA from 1 species